GGGAGUUUGGUCUAGUGGUAUGAUUUUCGCUUCGGUUGCCAGAGGUUCCGAGUUCGAUUCUUGGAACACCCC
rfam:Brassica oleracea var. oleracea cultivar TO1000 chromosome C1, whole genome shotgun sequence